CGUGGAGACAGGUGGUGCAUGGCUGUCGUCAGCUCGUGUCGUGAGAUGUUGGGUUAAGUCCCGCAACGAGCGCAACCCUCACCUCUUGUUGCCAUCAGGUCAUGCUGGGCACUCUAGAGGAACUGCCCCGGUCAACGGGGAGGAAGGCGGGGAUGACGUCAAGUCAUCAUGCCCCUUACGUCCUGGGCUACACACGUGCUACAAUGGCCGGUACAAAGGGAUGCCACACCGCGAGGUAGAGCUAGACCCAAAAAGCCGGUCUAAGUUCAGAUUGGAGUCUGCAACUCGACUCCAUGAAGGAGGAAUCGCUAGUAAUCGCGUAUCAGCACGACGCGGUGAAUACGUUCCCGGGCCUUGUACACACCGCCCGUCACACCACGAAAGCCUGCUGUACUCGAAGUCGCUGAG
rnacentral:rRNA from 1 species